AUGGAGGCUGAAGAGACGAUGCAACACCUACAGGAGUUCCGUGAACGUCAUAACAAGAUCCUCGACCAACUGAAUGAACAGUGAGGGCAGGACCGCUUUACUGACAUCACCCUGAUUGUGGACGGACACCAUCUGAAGGCUCACAAGGCCGUUUUGGCUGCUUGCAGUAACUUCUACAAAUUCUUUCCAGAGUUUACCCAAGAACCUUUGGUGGAGAUAGAAGGUAUUAGUAAAAUGGCCUUUUGCCAUUCAAUUGAGUUCACAUGUACAGCAAAAUUAAUGAUACAAGGAGAAGCAGCCAGCGAUGUAUGGAAAGCAGCAGAACAUCUACAAAUGCUAGAAGCCAUCAAAGCCCUUGAAGUUAGGAACAAAGAAAACACUUCAUUAAAGGAAAAUACCACAGGAAAAAGUGAGGCCAAAAAAAGUAAAAUUGCAGAAACUUCACGUUAUCGCUGAGUCACUGCUAUCUGCAGAGUCAGACUCUGUUGAAACUGAGGUAGAGAAUGCCGAAGACACGACUGAAGCAGAAGAUGAAGGCAUGGAAACAUUCGAGGAAGGGCUUCUGCCCAGCAGUCCAUAAAGUACAUACAGAGCACAGGUUCCUCUGAUGAUUCUGCUCCAGCACUGUUGCCAGAUAUCACCAGCAAGUCCAAGGUGACAGAAAAGGGCAGAUUAAAGAGGAAGACAGCUGUGCAAUCUGACCCCACAAGCAAACAGGAACACAUGAAAUCACACUUCACUGAGUUUCAACUGUGAAAUAUGCAACAAAAGGUAUCUUCAGGAGAGCGCAUGGAAACAGCACCUGAAUUGUUACCACCUUGAAGAAGGUGGAGGCAGUAAGAAGCAAAACUGGUGGAAAAAUUCAUGUAUGUCAGUACUGUGAGAAACAGUGUGACCAUUCUGGACAUUUUAAAGAACAGGUGAAAAACCUUUUGAAUAUCCAAAUUGUCAUGAACAAUUUGCUAGAAAUAGCCCCCUCAAAUGUCACCUCACUGCAUGCCAAAUGAGUAGGGGCAAAAAAAGGAAGAAAGAAGCUCAUGAGUGCCAGGUCUGCAACAGUGUGUUUAACAGCUAGAACCAGUUCAAAUAUCACUCAGUAAUACAUACUAGAGGUAAACCCAACCAUUGUACUUUAUGUGACUUGUGGUUUAUGCAAGGAAAUGAAUUAAGGAGGCAUCUCAGUGAUACAAUAUAUCAAAGCGUCUAGUAAUGGGAGAAGUUCUUUCAGCAGAAACACAGGUACAAGCUGAACCUGUGACAUCAAUGAUAUUAUAGAACAAGCUGGGAGGUACACGUGCUCCCACUGUUUCAGGUCCAGGUGGAUUCAGCACAAGCGAUCGUGGAACACGUCCACCCAGAACCACGCAGGGAUAGCCAGGUGCCCGACACACAGGAGUGAGCUUCCAGAGCAGGUCCAAGUGAGUUACCUAGCAGUGGGCUGAAUUCAGCCUGAAGAAGGUACUGAAGUACACGGAGAGGAGCCGCAUGUGGAACGGGAAAAUCAGAUGCCAGUGGAAGUACAAAGUGAACUUCCAGAAGCAGGCUUCGUCCACAUGACCCCAGAAAUCAUGACCCAAGAGAAGACAGAGCCUAGCCAAGCAGAUGCUGAGGCUGCCAGGGAAGAUCACGAAGAUGCUGAGGAUUAGAGACCGUGCUGACAGCACAUUCUGAAGCUGAAAAGGCAGAGAAUGAGGGCAGAACAGCUAUGCCAGUUUUAGAAUGA
rnacentral:lncRNA from 10 species